rnacentral:rRNA from 1 species
GUGAACGCUGGCGGUAGGCCUAACACAUGCAAGUCGAACGGCAGCACAGUAAGAGCUUGCUCUUACGGGUGGCGAGUGGCGGACGGGUGAGGAAUACAUCGGAAUCUACUUUUUCGUGGGGGAUAACGUAGGGAAACUUACGCUAAUACCGCAUACGACCUACGGGUGAGAGCAGGGGAUCUUCGGACCUUGCGCGAUUGAAUGAGCCGAUGUCGGAUUAGCUAGUUGGCGGGGUAAAGGCCCACCAAGGCGACGAUCCGUAGCUGGUCUGAGAGGAUGAUCAGCCACACUGGAACUGAGACACGGUCCAGACUCCUACGGGAGGCAGCAGUGGGGAAUAUUGGACAAUGGGCGCAAGCCUGAUCCAGCCAUACCGCGUGGGUGAAGAAGGCCUUCGGGUUGUAAAGCCCUUUUGUUGGGAAAGAAAAGCAGCAGGUUAAUACCCCGCUGUUCUGACGGUACCCAAAGAAUAAGCACCGGCUAACUUCGUG